rnacentral:misc_RNA from 1 species
GUAAUUGCAUUGAAUAUGGAGGAUGGAACGUUACAUAGAUUCCGUGCUGCUUCAACUAUCCUGGCCACAGGGGGUUAUGGUAGAGCUUACUUUUCAGCAACCUCAGCUCAUACAUGCACUGGAGAUGGCAAUGCUAUGGUUGCUAGGGCUGGGCUCCCACUCCAGGACCUGGAAUUUGUUCAAUUUCAUCCUACAGGCAUUUAUGGAGCUGGCUGCCUAAUUACUGAAGGUUCUCGUGGAGAAGGUGGUAUUCUUAGGAACAGUGAAGG